GGCGACCGGCGCACGGGUGGAGUAACGCGUAUCCAACCUGCCCUUUACUAUGGGACAGACCCGUCGAAAGGCGGAUUAAUACCGUAUGUUGUACAUGUUGAUGCAUAUUUUCAUGACCAAAGGCUUCGGCCGGUAAAGGAUGGGGAUGCGUCUGAUUAGCUUGCCGGCGGGGUAACGGCCCACCGGGGCGACGAUCAGUAGGGGUUCUGAGAGGAAGGUCCCCCACAUUGGAACUGAGACACGGUCCAAACUCCUACGGGAGGCAGCAG
rnacentral:rRNA from 1 species